UCUAAGCAGACUUCCUAGGUAGCUCUGAAACAGGUGGUCUGUAGACCACACUUUAAGAAUUAUCUUCAAGGAUUGGGCUAGUUUUAGUUUGUAGUGAUUUCUUGUGUCUCUUAAUGCCUAGACAAUAUAGUCUGGAUUGAUUGGAUAAACACAGAGGAACAAGAGAGCGGCAGAAUUGUACCAUGCAUGCAGCAGGCCAUGCUCUACACGGGCCUCUCAGGAUGCAGCAGAGAGAAAGCAGUUGGUGUAGAUAACUGAAACUGCAGAAGAGAAAACUGUGAAUAAAAGGGAACAACUGUACCCUUACAACCACCACUGUAAUCAAGAGGUAUAACAGCUUCAUCAGUUCAACACUGAAACUGGACAUUGUAGAAGAUGAAUUAUGAGAGUGAUUUAUGAAAGAAAGACAGUGGAGAAUUGCAAUCGAUGGAGACAUUCAAAGAAAAGACUUUGGCACUACAUCAAAAGAGAGUAGAAUAAAUGACGAAACUAAAGCACAAAGAGAUUAAAGAACUUAUCCAAGGUCAUGCAGCUGGAAAGAAGUGGAUUUGGGAUUGUGAACAUCACAAUUUCACAAACUACAUUUCAUGAUGGGUAGAGCUAGUCAAACGUCUGAAAAUAAAGUUUGGUUUAAAGAUGACCAUCGUCUUGUUAAGAAAUUAUAUAAAUGAGUAUCACUAAAAAGUCUCUCUUUAAACUCACCAAGCACUCUUCACUAUGGACAAGAAAGUGUGAAUAUGGUUAUUUUUUAUUUAAUAUUUUCAUGAUGAUUAACUGAAGGAUCUGACAGUAAAUAGUCUUUGGGUCUUUUUAAACUAAAACUCCUGUUGUUGUUGAUAGCAAUUGAUGCAAUUGAUAGUAAUGUGCUGUAUCCCUCAGAUGUAUUCCAGCUGAAGAAGGUGGAGAGCCACUAAAAUUUAUUGUUCUAUGUCAUUUUUCCAAAUCAUCUUUUGAUGACUGUCCAUCUACAUAUUGCUCAGUGGCUUUAUAUUUAGAACAUUAUUUGGGAAAUUGUAAUUUCAAAUAUUUUAACCUAUAAAUAUUCAAUGAAGCCUUGGCAAUGAAGAGUAAGACUUUAUAAAACCUUGAAUAUAUGAAUAGCACAGUUCUGGUUAUCUAUGUAACAACAUCCCCCAUAGUAACCUAAAACAAUGACAUUACUAUAUCCCAUGAUUCUGUGGAUUGCCUGGGCUUAGGUGGUAAGUUCUCAGGGUGUUGCUCAUUGUCACACCCAGAUAGCAGCUAGAACUAGAGUCAUCUGCAAACUCCUUUUUCUUGUGUGGACCAUCCAAGGUAGGUUUCUCAUGCACAUAUCUAGUGCUUUGGUGCUUCUUGGCCUCUCUCUUUCCACAUUGUAUCUCAUCUUCCUGGCCUCUCCACAUGGCUUGGGCUUCUUGUUGCAUGGUGUUACGAGGUACUCACACUGCUAACACAGUAGCUGACUUUCAAGAUACACAAAUUGGACCCUUUUAGACCAAUUAAGGGCUAUGGUGAAACUGGAGCAGUAUCACUCUCAUUGUAUUCUAUUGGCCAAAGUAGCAGAGGGCCUGAUCAGACCCAAAGAGGUAGAGAAAUAGAUUCUACUUCUCAAUGGGGGAGUACCAAGUUCAUAUUGCACAAGGGGAUGUAGAAUGGGAACUAUUGUUGUUAUCAUUAGGUAAUACAGUCUGCCUAAAGUACUAUAUCACCUAAUUAGACUUGCUUUGCACAUGAUGACCAGGAGGAAACAAGAUACUGUUUUGGAAUGUACUCACUAAGCAGCUGCCUAGAUGCUGCUUACCUAACAAGUGCCUUGUUUCCACUCAAGGUCAUGGAUCUUUGGGAGUCUAAUAAGAGUGAUGAAAAAUUAUUCAUAGGUCUCCUUCCUUUACUAUACAAUCCUCGCUGCUAAGAGAAAGAUGGGCAAAGGACCUGGGAUGGAUAUCUUUGUGAAUCUAUCAAUAAUGGAUAAAAUAUCUCAUUUGUCUGCUUUCCUUAUUAUCUAAUUCUUCCCUCUUAGAGGAGUCUGAGCAAAGGAGCCUAGACUGGGUGUAUGGUGGAGAGUCAGUAACUAGGAGUAGAAUCUAAAUCAAAUCAAUAGUGUCCUAGUUAACCAAAUCAAAGAGUAAAUGUACAGAAACACAGGAAACCAUGCAGGGUAAUCAAGACUAAAAUUCUGGGUUAUAAGGAACAGCCUAAAACAAUUCUGAGUUGCAAAAUAAAUGGCACCAAUAAUCUUAUACUAAAUUUCAGAAUGUUAGGAUAGGCCUUAUUCUGCUUAAGAUCAGAAUUGGUUCAAGAUACUGGGUUGGAGUUGAACUAGAAGGUUGUAGGUUGGUAGCCCCAGCUAGAAGGAGAGGCCUAGGAGGAUGCCAAGGAGUAAUUGGUAAGUUGCAAAUGUUGAGUUCCUACCAUGGACUUCUGCAGCAAUUGGUGACUGAUUUGUUAGAUGUUGCAGAGAGACUCAAAACAACUAUCAAUCAUCCUGUUAAUUAAAAAUAUUCAUUGGAUUU
rnacentral:lncRNA from 1 species